rnacentral:rRNA from 1 species
CACUCCUGCGGGAGGCAGCAGUGGGGAAUUUUGGACAAUGGGCGAAAGCCUGAUCCAGCAAUGCCGCGUGUGUGAAGAAGGCCUUCGGGUUGUAAAGCACUUUUGUCCGGAAAGAAAUCCUUGGCUCUAAUACAGUCGGGGGAUGACGGUACCGGAAGAAUAAGCACCGGCUAACUACGUGCCAGCAGCCGCGGUAAUACGUAGGGUGCGAGCGUUAAUCGGAAUUACUGGGCGUAAAGCGUGCGCAGGCGGUUUGCUAAGACCGAUGUGAAAUCCCCGGGCUCAACCUGGGAACUGCAUUGGUGACUGGCAGGCUAGAGUAUGGCAGAGGGGGGUAGAAUUCCACGUGUAGCAGUGAAAUGCGUAGAGAUGUGGAGGAAUACCGAUGGCGAAGGCAGCCCCCUGGGCCAAUACUGACGCUCAUGCACGAAAGCGUGGGGAGCAAACAGGAUUAGAUACCCUGGUAGUCCC